rnacentral:rRNA from 1 species
UACGUAGGGUGCGAGCGUUGUCUGGAAUUAUUGGGCGUAAAGAGCUUGUAGGCGGUUUGUCGCGUCUGCUGUGAAAAUCCGGGGCUCAACCCCGGACUUGCAGUGGGUACGGGCAGACUAGAGUGUGGUAGGGGAGACUGGAAUCCUGGUGUAGCGGUGGAAUGCGCAGAUAUCAGGAGGAACACCAAUGGCGAAGGCAGCACUCUGGGACGUGACUGACGCUGAGACGCGAAAGCGUGGGGAGCAAACAGG